CUUCCCUGGCUCCUUGAGCAGGACUGCAGCUUAACAAACCUUGCUUGACAAACACCAUUGCAAGCCUUGGAGAAUGUGGGAACAGCUCUUCCCUCCUGGGAAGAGGAGGUUUGAAGAGCAUUUCCCUUUGUAAGUCACAGUGACCUGAAAGCGCCCCAGCAAGCUGAGCCCCAGCAGAGCUGCCUGUGCCAGACAAAGAGCAGCAAUGGCUGUGGCUGCACACAAUGAUGGGAGGCAGCAGAGCCUGUGUGCA
rnacentral:lncRNA from 12 species